ensembl:lncRNA
UCAGAGAUUUAUUUCCAAUGUGUUCACUACAGUGCAUGGAGAAAAACAAAACAACACAUUUAAGAUGUCAAAUUAAGAUGAGGGAGAUUGGAUUUCUCUCAAGUUGGAUUCAGAUGAUGAAAAGGCUGGGAGUCGAGGCAAUUUUGAUUGGAAAUCAAGUGUAGCUUCUGCGGCAGGGUGGCAUCGAUGGUACAGCCAGAGGGAAACAAAGACAGUCUGACAAACAGGCCCAGAGCGCUUCAUCAGUGCACAACAUCUGCUUCUUCGGCAGGUCAGCUCCUCUGUAGGUUCCGCUCCUCCGUAGGUACCACUCCUCCGUAGGUACCACUCCUCCGUAGGUACCACUCCUCUGUAGGUACCACUCCUCUGUAGGUACCACUCCUCCGUAGGUACCACUCCUCUGUAGGUACCACUCCUCUGUAGGUCCUGCUCUUCUGUAGGUACCACUCCUCCGUAGGUCCAGCACCUCCGUAGGUCCCGCACCUCCGUAGGUCCCGCUCCUCUGUAGGUCCCGCUCCUCUGUAGGUACCACUCCUCCGUAGGUACCACUCCUCUGUAGGUACCACUCCUCUGUAGGUCCCGCUCCUCUGUAGGUACCUCUCCUCUGUAGAUACCACUCCUCUGUAGGUACCUCUCCUCUGUAGAUACCACUCCUCU